UACGUAGGGUGCAAGCGUUGUCCGGAAUUAUUGGGCGUAAAGAGCUCGUAGGCGGUUUGUCGCGUCUGCCGUGAAAGUCCGGGGCUCAACUCCGGAUCUGCGGUGGGUACGGGCAGACUAGAGUGCGGUAGGGGAGACUGGAAUUCCUGGUGUAGCGGUGAAAUGCGCAGAUAUCAGGAGGAACACCGGUGGCGAAGGCGGGUCUCUGGGCCGAUACUGACGCUGAGGAGCGAAAGCGUGGGGAGCGAACAGG
rnacentral:rRNA from 1 species